AACUUUUAGCAACGGAUCACUUGGCUCUCGCAUCGAUGAAGAACGCGGCGAAAUGCGAUAAGUAAUGUGAAUAGCAGAUUUCAGUGAAUCAUCGAAUCUUUGAACGCACCUUGCGCUCCUCGGUCUUCCGAGGAGCAUGCCUGUUUGAGUGCCCAGAAGUAAUCUCAACUAACACCUUGUGUGUGAGUUGGAUAUGGGGGUCUGCUGUCGACUUGUUCACGGCUCCUCCUAAAUGUGUUAGCUGUUUGGUGAUGAACCACUGUUGGCUUGAUAUCAUGUCUCUGCCGCGGUUGUACAUGUGCCAUUUCUCAUAAUCGUCUUCGGACAACUUUCUGACCUCGGGCCUCAAAUCAGGUAGGAUUACCCGCUGAACUUAAGCAUAUCAAUAAGCGGAGGCU
rnacentral:misc_RNA from 1 species